AUAAUGGGUCAGCGACUUAUAUUCUGUAGCAAGGUUAACCGAAUAGGGGAGCCGAAGGGAAACCGAGUCUUAACUGGGCGUUAAGUUGCAGGGUAUAGACCCGAAACCCGGUGAUCUAGCCAUGGGCAGGUUGAAGGUUGGGUAACACUAACUGGAGGACCGAACCGACUAAUGUUGAAAAAUUAGCGGAUGACUUGUGGCUGGGGGUGAAAGGCCAAUCAAACCGGGAGAUAGCUGGUUCUCCCCGAAAGCUAUUUAGGUAGCGCCUCGUGAAUUCAUCUCCGGGGGUAGAGCACUGUUUCGGCAAGGGGGUCAUCCCGACUUACCAACCCGAUGCAAACUGCGAAUACCGGAGAAUGUUAUCACGGGAGACACACGGCGGGUGCUAACGUCCGUCGUGAAGAGGGAAACAACCCAGACCGCCAGCUAAGGUCCCAAAGUCAUGGUUAAGUGGGAAACGAUGUGGGAAGGCCCAGACAGCCAGGAUGUUGGCUUAGAAGCAGCCAUCAUUUAAAGAAAGCGUAAUAGCUCACUGGUCGAGUCGGCCUGCGCGGAAGAUGUAACGGGGCUAAACCAUGCACCGAAGCUGCGGCAGCGACACUAUGUGUUGUUGGGUAGGGGAGCGUUCUG
rnacentral:rRNA from 1 species